rnacentral:rRNA from 1 species
GAGAUGGAUUCCUUCAGUUCGGCGUGGACCGGUGACAGGUGCUGCAUGGCGUGUCGUCAGCUCGUGUCGUGAGAUGUUGGGUUAAGUCCCGCAACGAGCGCAACCCUCGCCCUUAGUUGCCAUCAUUCAGUUGGGCACUCUAAGGGGACUGCCGGUGAUAAGCCGAGAGGAAGGUGGGGAUGACGUCAAGUCCUCAUGGCCCUUACGGGCUGGGCUACACACGUGCUACAAUGGUGGUGACAGUGGGCAGCGAGACCGCGAGGUCGAGCUAAUCUCCAAAAGCCAUCUCAGUUCGGAUUGCACUCUGCAACUCGAGUGCAUGAAGUUGGAAUCGCUAGUAAUCGCGGAUCAGCAUGCCGCGGUGAAUACGUUCCCGGGCCUU